rnacentral:rRNA from 1 species
GACGAACGCUGGCGGCGUGCCUAAUACAUGCAAGUAGAACGCACAGGAUGCACCGUAGUUUACUACACCGUAUUCUGUGAGUUGCGAACGGGUGAGUAACGCGUAGGUAACCUGCCUGGUAGCGGGGGAUAACUAUUGGAAACGAUAGCUAAUACCGCAUAAGAACAUUUACUGCAUGGUAGAUGUUUAAAAGGUGCAAAAGCAUCACUACCAGAUGGACCUGCGUUGUAUUAGCUAGUUGGUGAGGUAACGGCUCACCAAGGCAACGAUACAUAGCCGACCUGAGAGGGUGAUCGGCCACACUGGGACUGAGACACGGCCCAGACUCCUACGGGAGGCAGCAGUGGGGAAUCUUCGGCAAUGGGGGGAACCCUGACCGAGCAACGCCGCGUGAGUGAAGAAGGUUUUCGGAUCGUAAAGCUCUGUUGUUAAGGAAGAACGUGUGUGAGAGUGGAAAGUUCACACAGUGACGGUACUUAACCAGAAAGGGACGGCUAACUACGUGCCAGCAGCCGCGGUAAUACGUAGGUCCCGAGCGUUGUCCGGAUUUAUUGGGCGUAAAGCGAGCGCAGGCGGUUAGAUAAGUCUGAAGUGAAAGGCAGUGGCUCAACCAUUGUAGGCUUUGGAAACUGUUUAACUUGAGUGCAGAAGGGGAGAGUGGAAUUCCAUGUGUAGCGGUGAAAUGCGUAGAUAUAUGGAGGAACACCGGUGGCGAAAGCGGCUCUCUGGUCUGUAACUGACGCUGAGGCUCGAAAGCGUGGGGAGCGAACAGG